GGAGGGUCCAAGCGUUAUCCGGAAUCAUUGGGUUUAAAGGGUCCGUAGGCGGGCGAUUAAGUCAGAGGUGAAAUCCCACAGCUCAACUGUGGAACUGCCUUUGAUACUGGUUGUCUUGAGUUACAGUGAAGUAGAUAGAAUAUGUAGUGUAGCGGUGAAAUGCAUAGAUAUUACAUAGAAUACCGAUUGCGAAGGCAGUCUACUAACUGUUAACUGACGCUAAGGGACGAAAGCGUGGGGAGCGAACAGGGAUUAGAUACCCUGGUAGUCCACGCCGUAAACGAUGGUCACUAGUUGUUGGGGCUUUAUGCCUCAGUGAUUAAGCGAAAGUGAUAAGUGACCCCACCUGGGGAGUACGAUCGCAAGAUUG
rnacentral:rRNA from 1 species